UGAGUAUUGUAAUUAUAAAUGUUCAGUGUAAAUUCAAGCCAUUAGGCUUAUUACAUUUAUGUGAUCUAAAGUUCCUAAUGCAACCGCUUAUUUCAGACUGAUGAGAAUUACUUUAGACGGGGUACGUCAACGAAUAGGCACGACAGCGAAAAUACGGAAGUCACUUCGGGGACGUGUCGCAGAAUCGCAUAACUCUACACGAGAUUAAAAGAAAGAAAGAAAGACAAUGAAGACAACCAUGUAAAAACAAAUUCAAUCAAUUAAAUCAUCAGCAGAUUGAAA